GAAUAUUGCGAGUGCCCGCAAGCCUGCAUCCACCAUGCCGCGUGAGUGAUGAAGGCCUUAGGGUCGUAAAGCUCUUUCGCCUGUGAUGAUAAUGACAGUAUCUGGUAUAGAAACCCCGGCUAACUCCGUGCCACCAGCCGCGGUAAUACAGAGGGGGUUAGCGUUGUUCGGAAUUACUGGGCGUAAAGCGCGCGUACGCGGAUUACUUAGUUAGAGGUGAAAUCCCGGGGCUCAACCCCGGAACUGCCUUUAAUACUGCUAGUCUUGAGUUCGAGAGAGGUGAAUGGAAUUCCCAGUGUAUAGGUGAAAUUCGUAUAUAUUCGGAGGAAAACCACUGGGGAAAGCGGCUCCCUGGGUCGAUACUGACACUGACGUGCAAAAGUGUGGGGAGCAAACAGGAUUAUAUAUCCUCGUAUUCCACUGCGUAUACGAUAAAUGCCCUUCGUCGGGGAGCAUGCUAUUCCGUGACUCUCCUAACCGAUUAAUCAUUCCUCCUGGCUGGUACGGUCGCACGAUUAAAACUCAAUCGAAUUGACUGACGGA
rnacentral:rRNA from 1 species